rnacentral:sRNA from 1 species
AUUGCAUGAAGAUUAGUUUGUUAGAAUCUUAAACUCUGUUUGACCUCAUGUGUAUAGCGAAAAUCAACGACAUCGUUAAUUGACUCAUACGAUGCACAAUGUUGUAAGUGUCUCAAAGUGAGAUCUAUAGAGUUACAAGAAGAUUACAAAGAGAUUCGAAAUAAAAAAACCGAAAAAGUCUUUUGAAUGCAAGAGAUGUGUAGAACUUGGAGAUAUGGUUAUAAACUUUUAUUCUCCUACUAUUCGUUGGUUCCAAUGUACUGUCAUUUUAGAGAAUUUUUAUUUUUUAUGGAUCUAAUUUAAUUAACACAAAUCUUUAUUGAGAAUUUGUUGGUAUUCACGAAAUCCAAAGGAGGUAAUUACUCCCUCUUCACUUCAACCAAAAAGCCAAACCACAAAAAAAACUCUCUUCAUCUCCCUCAAAAUUUGAAAUAUGAUGAAGACGACUACUCAAGCUACAUCUCACAAGGUAUCGACAAUGUUUUAUUUUUAUCAUUGCAUGAAAAUUCGUUUGUCAGAAUCUUAAUCUUUGUUUGAUCUCAUGUGUGUAGUGAAAACCAACGACAUCAUUAAUUGACUCAUACUCUGCACAAUAUUGUAAGUGUCUCAAAGUGAGAUCUCUAGAGUCAGAAGAAGAUUACAAAGAGAUUCGAAGUAAAACACCGAAAAAGUCUUUUAAAUGCAAGAGAUGUGUAGAACUUGGAGAUAUGGUCAUGAAGUUUUAUUCUCCUACUGUUCGAUGGUUCCAAUGUACUAUUAUUUUAGAGAAUUUUCAUUUUUUAUGGAUCUAAUUUGAUUUACACAAAUCAUUAUUGAGAAUUUGUUGGUAUUUACAAAAUUCAAAGGAGAUAAUUACUCUCUCUUCACUUCAACCAAAAAGCCAAACCACAAAAAAAACUUUCUUCAUCUCCCUCAAAACUUGAAAUACGGUGAAGACGACUACUCAAGCUACAUCCCACAAGGUAUCGAGAAUGUUUUAUUUUUAUCAUUGCAUUAAGAUUCGUUUGUCAGAAUCUUAAUCUCUGUUUGAUCUCAUGAGUGUAGCGAAAACCAACGACAUCGUUAAUUGACUCAUACGCUACAAAAUGUUGUAAGUGUCUCAAAGUGAGAUCUAUAGAGUCACAAGAAGAUUACGAAGAGAUUCGAAGUAAAACACCAAAAAAGUCUGUUGAAUGCAAGGGAUGUGAAGAACUUGGAGAUAUGGAUAUGAACUUUCAUUCCCUACUGUGCAUUGGUUUCAAUAUACUAUUAUUUUAGAGGAUUUUCAUUUUGUAUGGAUCUAAUUUAAUUUACACAAAUCAUUAUUGAGAAGUUGUUGGUGUUCACGAAAUCCAAAAGAGAUAAUUAGUCCCUCUUCACUUCAACCAAAAAGUCAAACCACAAAAAAAACUCUCUUCAUCUCCCUCAAAACUUGAAAUAUGGUGAAGACGACUACUCAAGCUACAUCCCACAAGGUAUUGACAAUGUUUUAUUUUCAUCAUUGAAUGAAGAUUCGUUUGUCAUAAUCUUAAUCUCUGUUUGAUCUCAUGUGUAUAGUGAAAACCAACGACAUCAUUAAUUGACUCAUACGCUGCACAAUGUUGUAAGUGUCUCAAAGUGAGAUGUAUAGAGUCACAAGAAGAUUACAAAGAGAUUCGAAGUAAAACACCAAAGAAGUCUUUCGAAUGCAAGAGAUGUGAAGAACUUGGAUAUAUGGUUAUGAACUUUGAUUCCCUACUGUGUAUUGGUUCCAAUGUAUUAUUAUUUUAGAGAAUUUUCAUUUUAUGGAUCUUAUUUGAUUUACACAAAUCAUUAUUUAGAAUUUGUUGGUGUUCACGAAAUCCAAAGAAAAUAAUGAUUCCCUCUUCACUUCAACCAAAAAGCCAAAACAAAAAAAAAACUCUCUUCAUCUUCCUCAAAACUUAAAAUAUGGUGAAGACGACUACUUAAGCUACAUCCCACAAGGUAUCGAGAAUGUUUUAUUUUUAUCAUUGCAUUAAGAUUCGUUUGUCAGAAUCUUAAUCUCUGUUUGAUCUCAUGUGUGUAGCGAAAACCAACGACAUCGUUAAUUGACUCAUACGCUGCACAAUGUUGUAAGUGUCUCAAAGUGAGAUUUAUAGAGUCACAAGAAGAUUACGAAGAGAUUCGAAGUAAAACACCAAAAAAGUCUGUUAAAUGUAAGAGAUGUAAAGAACAUUGAGAUAUGGGUAUGAACUUUGAUUCCCUACUGUCCGUUGGUUUCAAUGUACUAUUAUUUUAGAGAAUUUUUAU